rnacentral:rRNA from 1 species
ACGGCCGUACCAUGCUGAAUAUACCGGUUCUCGUUAGAUCACCGAAGUCAAGCAUCACUGGGCGCGGUCAGUACUUGGGUGGGUGACCACCUGGGAACACUGCGUGCCGUU